GACUGGCCUCCCCUCAUAGCCUGGUUCCUCUCUAGGUUUCUUCCUAUGCUCUGGCCCUUUCUAGGGAGUUUUUCCUAGCCACUGUGCUUCUACACCUGCAUUGCUUGCUGUUUGGGGUUUUAGGCUGGGUUUCUGUACAGCACUUUGUGACAUCAGCUGAUGUAAGAAGGGCUUUAUAAAUACAUUUGAUUGAUUGUUUAGAAUGAAAACCCCUUUCCGAGAUAAAUCAUCUUUUUGUCUUAACAAAUACAGAAAUCCCUCCCUAGAAACAUACUGCAGAUUGGUGGGAAAAUAUGUGUCUCAGAUUUAGAAUAAGAAACGAGAAUACAGAGUCUACAAUAAUCUCCCUAAAGAACAGAGGCAAGAAUUGUACGUUUAAAAAAAAUUAUUGUAUGUAAUGUUGACAAGGGCGGAGCUGUGGUGUUGUUAAACCGUGAUGACUAUGUGAAUGAGAUCCCGGGACAAUUAAACAACACCAAUUUCUAUCAGAAAUUGUCAUGUGACCCUACACCACUGUUAAAAAAUGAGAGUCUCUUAUGGAAAGUGGAGACAUGCAAAAAGAAUGUGAGUUCAUGAAAGAAGACUAUCCAAUCAGGAGCGUCAUUCAUGCCUUACCAAAAAUCCACAAACAACUGGAUAAGCCACCAGGGAGACCUAUUGUGGCCUCCAUUGUGGCCUAUUGUGGCCUCCACCAACUUCAAUUGACUGAAAAUAUUUCUGCUUUUGUAGAUUUCCUUCUAAAACCCAGUGUGGUGUCACACCCUGGAUUCUAUGGACAUGAUUAACACCCUCAAGACAAUGCACAAUAUCAAUGGGGAGAUGCUUAUGGUUUGCUUUGAUGUUGAAUCACUGUAUUCUAAUAUCCCCCACCAGGGAGGCCUAGAAGUCAACAACCCCCUGGCACACUCCCUAGCACCAACUUUAUUGUUGUGUAACGGCUGUCUGAGGAAGAAGUGGACCAGAAUGCGGCGGAGUUAGGGGCACAGCAGAGGAACUUCAUCGAUUCCUCUCCUUCAUCAAUACAAGCAGUUAAACAUUUGAAAUUCACCCUCAUAUUUGAUGCGAAUUAAAUACGUUUUCUUGACAUUUUCAUUAAGAGGGAUGGUUAGUACGGAUCUAUACAGGAAGCCGACAGACAGGAAUUCCCUGUUACGUGGAGACAGCUUCCACCCUACACCCCUAAAAAAGAGCCACCCCAUUAGCCAAUACAGUCGCAUAUGUAGGAUUUGUAGAACACAGAGUGACUAUGUAACAAACCAACCAUCUGAUGAGCGUUUCAGACAGUGGGGUUACCCAGAGGAAUGGCUGCAUGACGCAAGGGAACAUUAUAAAAAUAUGACCCAGGAUGACAGCCUCACGUCCAAACCUCCCCCGUCCUGACCAACGCAUUUAAUGCUUCCUUCAGUACUCCCCACCUGGUAAACAAUUCGACCACAUCAUUAAAACACACUGGUACAUCUUGAUCACUAAUCCACAACUGGAAAAGACGUUUAAAGAACCCCUGCGGGUAGUCUUCAGACGGGUCCCCAACAUCAGUCAAAUGGUGGUGAGGUCUGAUCUUCCACCAGUCAUUAAGCUCGAGACCCUGGGUCUCGACCCCGCCCUGUGCAACUGGGUCAUGGACUUUUUGACGGGCCGCCCGCAGGUGGUGAGGGUCGUGUCCUGGACUUUCUGUUUGGCAGGAAACAUCUCCACCCCGCUGAUCCUCAACACUGGGACCCCACAAGGGUGCGUUCUCAGCCCUCUCCUGUACUCCCUGUUCACCCAUGACUGCGUGGCCAUGCACGCCUCCAACUCAAUCCUCAAGUUUUCAGACGACACUACAAUGGUAGGCUUCAUUACCAACAAUGACGAGACGGCCUACAGGGAAGCGGUGAGGGCCCUCGGAGUGUGGUGUCAGAAAAUAACCUCACACUCAACGUCAACAAAACAAAGGAGAUUAUCGUGGACUUCAGAAAA